UAAGGAAUAUUGGACAAUGGAGGCAACUCUGAUCCAGCCAUGCCGCGUGAAGGAAUAAGGCCCUAUGGGUUGUAAACUUCUUUUAGACGGGACAAAACCCCUUUACGUGUAAAGGGUUGAUGGUACUGUCAGAAUAAGCAUCGGCUAACUUCGUGCCAGCAGCCGCGGUAAUACGAAGGGUGCAAGCGUUACUCGGAAUUACUGGGCGUAAAGCGUGCGUAGGUGGUUCGUUAAGUCUGAUGUGAAAGCCCUGGGCUCAACCUGGGAAUGGCAUUGGAAACUGGCGGACUGGAGUGCGGUAGAGGGUAGCGGAAUUCCCGGUGUAGCAGUGAAAUGCGUAGAGAUCGGGAGGAACAUCCGUGGCGAAGGCGGCUACCUGGACCAGCACUGACACUGAGGCACGAAAGCGUGGGGAGCAAACA
rnacentral:rRNA from 1 species